GAUGAAGAACGUAGCGAAAUGCGAUACUUGGUGUGAAUUGCAGAAUCCCGUGAACCAUCGAGUCUUUGAACGCAAGUUGCGCCUCAAGCCAUUAGGUUGAGGGCACGUCUGCCUGGGCGUCACAUAUCGUUGCCUGAUGCCAGUUUCCUCGUGAUGGGUGACUGUGCAGGGCGAAUGAUGGCUUCCCGUGAGCAUUGUUGCCUCAUGGUUGGUUGAAAAUUGAGUCCUUGGUAGGGAGCGCCGUGAUAGAUGGUGGUUGAGUGACGAACGAGACCCAAUCAUGUGAGACCCCUACCGAAUUUGGCCUUCAUGACCCACAUGCGUCUUUGGAACGCUCAUGACGAGACCUCAGGUCAGGCGGGGCUACCCGCUGAGUUUAAGCAUAUCAAUAGGGAGGA
rnacentral:misc_RNA from 1 species